rnacentral:rRNA from 1 species
UAGUCUGGGAAACUGCCUGAUGGAGGAGGAUAACUACUGGAAACGGUAGCUAAUACCGCAUAAUGUCGCAAGACCAAAGUGGGGGACCUUCGGGCCUCAUGCCAUCAGAUGUGCCCAGAUGGGAUUAGCUAGUAGGUGGGGUAACGGCUCACCUAGGCGACGAUCCCUAGCUGGUCUGAGAGGAUGACCAGCCACACUGGAACUGAGACACGGUCCAG